CUGAGUUUGUUCAUUUGUGAUGCGAGCGCUUUAAGGACUAGCGAGAUGCCCACUGUUCCCGGAGAAGUCGUUGUGAGGGGCAGGCAAACGGAGUCUUACCAUGUGGCAGUUGUACUUGUGGGGUCUCUUGGAGCCUCUUCCGCAGGCGAGGUGUCAGGGCCCCUCAGGCGCUGCGUAGCCUGCUGAGCACUCCUGGUUUUGUUUACAGUUUAUACCAGACCUAGUUUCCGGAGACCGUGGAUGCCGGGAGGGGUCGUUGGGCUCUGGAUGGCCGACCCGUGUCUUUGGAACAAGCUAAUGUCAGAGGUCUGGACAGCAGAAUCUAGGAGCAAGUCACCCAGGUCUUUCAUGAUGCUGUACCAGUCUCCUUCUCUCCCAGCUCUAUUUCCAGGAUCCUUUAUGUAUUUCUAGGAGCAGCGGGAAAUGAAUACAUCUCUGGACUUUGCUUUACCAAACCUGAGGUGAUCGUCAAGUUGGAACAAGGAGCAGAGCCAUGGACUGUAAAAGAACCCCCAAACCAGAGUUUCCCAGGCUGUCCCUGCAGAACUUUUUAACUGAAGGAGCUGCCGUGCUCCCCCACCCGCUUCCUGGUGAGGUGGGAGCCAACACGCGGAGGAUCAGUGUCAAGACGAAAGAAAAGGUAAUGCCGUGUGGAGCCGUCCGGACCCUCGUCCGGGGAAAAACUCCCCCGAGGAGAACCACUACGGGGCAGCUGGGAAGGCAGAUGUGUGCGGGCUGUGGGACGAGUGACGGGACCGACGCGGGCCCACCGGUGUGGGGGCCCCGGGACCAGAUCGAAACCGUGUCCCCUGCCUCCUCUGAGCUACUUGAGCAAACGGGGUGGACAGACCAGGCCAACGGGAAGUGCGCGAAGGUCAGGCGAGGCCUGCGGGUGAGUCCCCCGGAGCGCUCCGGGUAGCGCCGCCCAGACCCUUCCAGCGGGGCGACAGUCGUUUUUCCUCACGACCGACCCCGCC
rnacentral:lncRNA from 1 species